rnacentral:lncRNA from 1 species
AACCCGUUAAAGUGUUAGGAUUAUAUUUCGGCACAAAUAAAGCAGAAUGCGCAAAACUAAAUUGGGAACACAAAUUUGAAAAAGCAAAAAAACUCAUGAAAUCUUGGGAAAAAAGACAUCUUACUAUCAUCGGUAAAAUUCUUAUAAUCAAAUCACUCAUUAUUCCACAAUUCACAUACUUAGCAAGUAUGACAGUCAUAAAUAAAACGUACAGCGACAAUCUAGAAAGAGAAAUUUUUUAAUUUUAUUUGGAACGGUAAACAAGACAAAUUAAAAAGGUCAACUCUCAUAGCAGAUUACAAUACAGGAGGACUCAAUAUGAUAGAUAUCGACAGC